UGAGUGCUAACUAGGACGGACGCCCAGUGUGGCCGCACGCCAUUGCAUCUCCUGGGAUUUCUCUGUGUUUCAUCACAGUCACAGCAUAAUCCUCAUCACUGCCGCAGUGCCAUCUAGUGGCAGUAUUUGAGUUGACCCUUAUCCUAGUCUCCAAUUCUCUGUUCCAAUUCAGAUACCCCGACUAGUUCUAACUUGCCCAAUGAUGUAUGGUGAAUGUGGGUAUGACCUAUAGUACCAGACUCCACCUUAUAAGGUAAAUGGUCUGAUUAUAAUUUGCAUCUUGGACGCUGUUGAGCACUCUUCAAAUCUACAAAAGCACCGUUUAUCGAAGCUCCCGAAGAAGCGACGACGUCGCGAAACAUGUCGAGCUGAACCCCAUUUUUAACCAGAACUCAUCCUGUACCAUCUUUUUGAAGUUACAACGCCACCCAGCGCCUAUAGUGUAUUCUAUACAUCUAGCCCUGUGGCUAAUAGCGGUGUCUUUAGAAAGUGAUAGGAUUUGAGCUCUUUUGUGUACUUUAUUGUUCAUUUUGUUCUUUUUUUCUUAUUAUUUUGAGCAAUUGUCUUGUAUACCCAUGCUUUGUAUUGUCUAAAUUA